AACGAACGCUGGCGGCAUGCCUAGCACAUGCAAGUCGAACGAAGUCUUCGGACUUAGUGGCGCACGGGUGCGUAACGCGUGGGAAUCUGCCCUUGGGUGCGGAAUAACUUCUCGAAAGGGAUGCUAAUACCGCAUAAUGUCGUAAGACCAAAGAUUUAUCGCCCAAGGAUGAGCCCGCGUAAGAUUAGCUAGUUGGUGGGGUAAAAGCCUACCAAGGCGACGAUCUUUAGCUGGUCUGAGAGGAUGAUCAGCCACACUGGGACUGAGACACGGCCCAGACUCCUACGGGAGGCAGCAGUGGGGAAUAUUGGACAAUGGGCGAAAGCCUGAUCCAGCAAUGCCGCGUGAGUGAUGAAGGCCCUAGGGUUGUAAAGCUCUUUUACCAGGGAUGAUAAUGACAGUACCUGGAGAAUAAGCUCCGGCUAACUCCGUGCCAGCAGCCGCGGU
rnacentral:rRNA from 1 species